CAUGAAAUGUGACAGAAGCAGGUUUAAGUACUUGCUCUGAAUCAGGCAAAGUGAGGAUUUGCUACUGAGCCUCCCUCAUCCCAGGAUUUGAAGAAGCUUACAGAGUUAAGGACUCAGCAGUCAGGGAACACCAAAGGUGGGACUACUACUAUCAUCAGUACUGGAAGCCUGAAACUCCCUAGCCAAGUGCCAGCUCUUGAUGAAGCUCCUACUUCACAUCCCCCAUCUGAAGAGUUUUUGUUUUGCUAGCCAUCAAAGAAGGCUAUCCCUUGAGGAACAGAGAUCCCAUGAGCCCUGGUGACAGGAGUUGUGUAGGAGUAGAGGAGCACUCUUCUAUGCUGCUUACUACUUUGAAGGGGCUGCAGAAUGCAUGAUCCUAGACCUCCAAAAGGCCUCCUCACUUUCUCUGCAAGGGCGGUGAGUCCUGGGCCCAGCCAUCCCCUGUUCCAAAGCAUGGCCCUUUAAGAAUAGAUGUUCCAUGGGAGGACCAAAAGUCAAGCUGGGAAUCAGAUGCUUUAGUGAGGUGGCCAUAAUGCUCAGCAGAUAAAAGAUGGUGGAACUCAGUGCGGUGAAGCUUAGAGUCCGGAGAGAAGCACCCUGAUGAAGCUUGUGAGGAUCACAGCCCAAGGAAGGAGGGCUGUGGAGACCUGUCCAAAGUGGAAGAAUUUUGAGCCCAGUAUCGGGGCAAGGGAAAGGACCGGAGGGAGAAGACACUCCAGAGAAGGCAGGCUGGUACAUAGGAAGAGGUUCUGAGAAGGAAAGAAUGAGUUUGGGUCUGAGCUAUAGGAUUGGUAUCCCAAUUGUUUUGGGUUCCCAGGUCUGGUAGAGGAUGCUGUGACCUCUGCUAUUAAGAGGGAGGAAGAAGGAACUAACCAGAGCUGACAAAGGCUGGAAGCUGACCCCAGAAAGAGGAGAACUGAAGACUGUUGUGUGCUUGGCAUAAGUCUGUGAUGGAAGAUUGGUGUCUGUCUUUUGGACUUUGAUUAUGAUGGAAGGGGUGGGCUUUUGUGAUUUAGUUAAUCACAAAAGUUAAAUCACCUUGGCAACUGAAUUGUUCUGGAGGCUGAGAGAAUUCAUGGAAAACCCAGUAACUAACCUGAAGCUGGAUGACUUCCGUGCUGGCAUCUCUUGAGCGGGCAUGUGUGCAGGGACUGCUACAAUGAAUAAUCUAAAGUACUGUAUCUGGAAAUGCAUUUUGGGGAAACUGUUUUCUGUUAUUAAACGACGGCUUGCACACGUAAGCUUUUAUACAUAUUUGAAAUAUAUUUGUAUUAGAGCAACAAAUUCAGCAUUGAUUUACACCCAGUGCCUCUCAGUUAAAUCAGCCUGUGGUGGUGAUGGGUGUAAAUCAAUGCAGAAUCUCUCAUUGCAUUCAGCUGGGCAAUCAAAUCACAUGAUAAAGAAGUCAUGAAUUAAUUACAUAUUUUGAGCUUUAUAGUGUAGCCUUGAGUUUACCAGCCCAAUCACAAAAUCUCUUAGAAUACAUACUUUUAAUCCUAUAAUUAUGAUACUGAUGUCAUCCUUGACACUUUUUAAAAAAUUGCUCAGUGUGCCUCUGUGAUUUUAAUUCCAGGUCCAAUCUUGGCAUUUUCUAGACCCACUUUGGACGUGGCUUAAAUGGCAGAAGUCUUGUGACUUCUGAAGGCAUAAUUUAGACCUAAAGAUUUAAUUGUGCAUAAAAAAGGGGGCAGCUCAAACUAUAACUGCAUUUUCAUAUGCUUUCUGGAUCCUAGUCCUGCUCCCUUUUAGGUUUGGGCUCUGCAUAGAAAUAUUUCUUUGUAAUUUAUUCUGAACUGACAUUUUACUUCUUAAGGGAGAAAUCAGUGCAUACAUGUUUGCCUUAUGCAAACCUUAUUUAUAUUAUUCCCAGACCUGUAGGGAUGACAGAACCUAAUAAGGUGUCAAACUAAAAUUCUCAUGAAGUGGACACAUUUAAUCCAAAUGAGUUUCACAGUAGAAUGCUCUUCUGUUGACCCUGGACAUUGGGCAAAAUGUUCCAGGAAUAAAACUCCUACAGAAAAAUGUAUUUGCAUAAAUCUGAGUAGAGAGAACAAACAUACCACUCAUCUUUUGCAUAGUUUCUGUGUGAUUGCUACUGUUAAUAGUUUUCCUUGUAGGGACUGAAUCUAAUGAAAAAAGGACAUUCCCACUUACAUUACUCCAAACAAGUGCUGUUUCCUAUGAGUGCUGAUGUUAGUAUAUAACAACCAUCACCCUCUAAUCAGAAAUAUUCCUGCUGUCUCAGCUCAGAACACAUUAUUUACUAAGCCUGAACUAUGCUAAGUUCAUUUUUUGUCACCUUCGUUAAUAAAGUCCCACCCCAAAAUUUGUCCGCAUGUUAAUUAUUUUAAGUAGAAACUCCAAUUCCUUAAACUAUUUUUAAAAUUUCUGCCAUCUAGAGCCAGUUUUGUAGCAUAACAUCUUAACACGGUUAAUGUGUGACCAUUUCAGUAACAGCUUGUCCUCUGACCUUAAUACCCCCAACUAAGAGACUAUUCAUGUUGGAUGUGAACUGAAACACUACAAAAGGACAUGGGUGGCAAGAUGACAAAGUGGAAUAGAGGCCUACAAGGGGAAGUUUGGACUGUCGAGAUUUGUAGCACUGUUUCAAGUGGGGCUGAUAUUAGAGAUGUCUUGCAGACACACAGGGCCAGAUCGUCCGCUGUUGUUAAUUGACAUAGGUUCUUUGCCUUCAAUAAAGCUAUACUGAUGUACAUCAGUAUAAGUCCAUUGCUUUCACAGAAGUUAUGCUGAUGUACAGCAGCUGAGGGUUUGGCCCAGAAUUUCCAUCUCUGUAGUGAUAGUAAGAUAUUAACUCAGUGGGAAUUCUAUUUUUUUUUUUUAAUUCACCAGAUUCCGUACCCUACCUGUUGUUUUCCAUUUGAUAGCAUGUCUGGGUCCAGACAGUUAAUUGCAUCCCAAUCUUGGUUCAGUGCCCUGACAUCUCUGAUUGCACUGUCUUCUUCCAUAUUGUUGUGGCAAUGUUGAAAACAGUUGCUGUUUCCCCCCUCAGGUCUGGAGACAUUGAGUGAAAAUAAACAUGUACAAGAAACUGUAGCUGACAGGAGGGUACAAGAAGUUAAGCCAGGUCAGUGAGACUGUGCCUGAUCUGAGUGUAUUCUAUCCUCAGCAUAACUAAGCAGUCUUCCCAAGUGGAGGUCAUUCCAGCUCAUUUAAAAAAAAUAAAAAACAGUCGUCAGUGAUUAGGGACCCAUCUGCAGCUCCGAUUAUAUCAAAAAGAUAGAAAAGGAGACUGGGUGAAGGAGAUGCCAAGGCUAUUGGAGUGAGGAAAGCAGGAAUUACUGAGCCUGGAAAACUUGUGGUGGCUCAGUCCACCUAUGUUUGCUGGUUCACUGGCAGCCUUCCUUUCCCACCAGGAGGGAUAGUGGUGUGAGGGACAAAUGGGUCCAUUCCAGAGCACGUCCUCCCACAAACAGGAAUGAAAAGAAAAUGGCAGUGUGGAGAGAACACUGGACCCACUCCCUAGCAGUUGAGAUCUUCAGACUCGUUUUGGAUUGUCACCUAGUUUGAUGCACUCAUCCAGCAUGCCUCCUUGCUUUAAAAAGGCUGUUCUCAUACAGACAUACUUUGAGUAAUCCUGUAAUGGCCACUAACAGGGACUACUAUAAAUGAUACACUUUUACAGAAAUGUACUUCUCUACAGUUGCAUCAUGCACCCCUUUUUCCAACUGACUAAACUUCCAUUCUGGGAAACCUCUCAAAACAAACUGUAAGGAACUCUAA